UACGAAGGGGGCUAGCGUUGCUCGGAAUCAUUGGGCGUAAAGGGUGCGUAGGCGGCGCGGUAAGUCGGGUGUGAAAUCUCGGAGCUUAACUCCGAAACUGCAUUCGAUACUGCCGUGCUUGAGGACUGGAGAGGAGACUGGAAUUUACGGUGUAGCGGUGAAAUGCGUAGAUAUCGUAAGGAAGACCAGUGGCGAAGGCGGGUCUCUGGACAGUUCCUGACGCUGAGGAGCGAAAGCGUGGGUAGCAAACAGG
rnacentral:rRNA from 1 species